rnacentral:lncRNA from 1 species
CUCGCAGCUGGUGGAGGCUGUUGUCUGCAGUCUGGCCCGGAGUGGCCAUGUUACACCCUCAGGGCUGGGCCUCUUGCCUGCCAAAACCAUCACCACUGUCCUGAGAUGCGUUGGAGGUACCAGAUCUGGUCUCUGAGCUUCCCUGCAUAAACCUGGAGUGGAAUGUCUCCUGCCUGCCAGCAAUGCCAGCCGAACGUGCCUGCUCCUCAAGCUGGCUCUGGAGGAUCCGAUGCCAGCCACGGCCCACGUGUGAGGGAAAGGUUCGCAGCCACUCCUAUAGAGGGGGGCAUUAAGAUCAACGUUGCCAAGGUGAGCACCACUGCAGCCCCUGGAGAUGCGAGCUGGAAGAGCUGCUCCACACGUGACCUCCUUUCAUCACCCUUUCGUGGCCAUCUCAGGAAGCUCACUGCUGCGCUGAGGCUGUAUUUUGAAGAUGCUGACAUCUGUAAAUGA